UAUCGUUCUACUUCACUGACAGCUGCGCUCAAGCCCAGUGGCAUUACCUCACAGGAAAUAUGGCAAAUCCCAAAUAGUGUUAAGUCUCGGCUUCAACGGAGUUUCUAAGGCGUCGGACGAGUACUUAGUCUUAACAGGGCACUGCAAACAAAUGAUUUGACCGCUGGUGGAUCUUCCUGAGUUCAUAUCGCAAAGUGGUGAAACACUGAGAAGACUUCAAGUGAGGGCAACUGACUCUGCCCCUUCUAGUCCAACAACCAUAGAAGUCAGGCGUUCCCAGAGUGGCUUUGUUGCACUGUCCACAUCUGAUCAAAGUCCUGUGCGGCCAUUUGUGAUGUUUGAAUGAAAGUAGACACUCCAACUAUCCAUGACACCUACUGCACCGAAUCCUCUAGAGUGAAGCCUAAAAAACAAUGCGGAACAAUGCAUGCUUGACUGAGGUCAUAGUACUCUGGGACGAGAGGUGAGCACUGUUACUAGCAGCAUCCUGUUCUUUAUCCACAGCCCAAAGAAGACAUCCAGUGAGGGCACUUAUGGAACAAGUCCCGCUGAUCCGCCAUAUAAAGCGAC